CCUACGGGAUGCAGCAGUGAGGAAUAUUGGUCAAUGGACGCAAGUCUGAACCAGCCAUGCCGCGUGCAGGAAGACGGCUCUAUGAGUUGUAAACUGCUUUUGUACGAGGGUAAACGCAGAUACGUGUACCUGUUUGAAAGUACCGUACGAAUAAGGAUCGGCUAAGUCCGUGCCAGCAGCCGCGGUAAUACGGAGGAUUCGAGCGUUAUCCGGAUUUAUUGGGUUUAAAGGGUGCGUAGGCGGUCGGAUAAGUUAGAGGUGAAAUCCCGAGGCUCAACUUCGGAAUUGCCUCUGAUACUGUUCGGCUAGAGUGUAGUUGCGGUAGGCGGAAUGUAUGGUGUAGCGGUGAAAUGCUUAGAGAUCAUACAGAACACCGAUUGCGAAGGCAGCUUACCAAGCUACUUCUGACGUUGAGGCACGAAAGCGUGGGGAGCAAACAGGAUUAGAUACCCGUGUAGUC
rnacentral:rRNA from 1 species